CCCUUAGAUGUUCUGGGCUGCACGCGCGCUACACUGAAGCUAUCAACACGUUUUCCCUCCCUGAGAAGGGCGGGUAACCUUUUGAAUCAGCUUCGUGGUAGGGAUCGGGGCUUGCAAUUGUUCCCCGUGAACCAGGAAUUCCUAGUAGACGCGAGUCAUAAGCUCGCAUCGAUUAAGUCCCUGCCCUUUGUACACACCGCCAGUCGCUACUACCGAUUGAACGUUUUAGUGAGGCAUUUGGACCGACGCAUCUCAGUUUAACCGCUGGUUUGUGUUGGAAAGACUUCCAAACUUGAGCGUUUAGAGGAAGUAAAAGUCGUAACA
rnacentral:rRNA from 1 species